GGGUCGGUAGCUCAGUGGUUUAGAGCGCCUGGCUCUUAACCAGGCGGUCGAGGGUUCGAAUCCCUCCCGACCCG
rnacentral:tRNA from 3 species